rnacentral:rRNA from 1 species
UACGAAGGGUGCAAGCGUUAAUCGGAAUUACUGGGCGUAAAGGGUGCGUAGGCGGUUGUUUUAAGUCUGUCGUGAAAUCCCCGGGCUCAACCUGGGAAUGGCGAUGGAUACUGGACAGCUAGAGUGUGUCAGAGGAUGGUGGAAUUCCCGGUGUAGCGGUGAAAAUGCGUAGAGAUCGGGAGGAACAUCAGUGGCGAAAGGCGGCCCAUCUGGGGACAACACUGACGCUGAAGCACGAAAAGCGUGGGGGGAGCAAAACAGGGA